UUCUUAUUCUUUUUUUUUUUUUUUUUUUUUUUUUUUUUUUUUUUGCUUUAUUUUUCAGCGAAAAAAUUGUGGCGGACAACCAGGUAAGAGUCAAUCAUCGAUGUGACAGAAACUGAUAUUGAUGAUACCGAUAAUCGACGUUGAGAACACAUCACACAUGUAUGGUGAUGAUAAUAAAGACGAUGGGCCGAUGAACAAGAAAGUAGAAAGAAAAUAAUGACGAUGAUCGACUUUUGAAAAAGACAGAAAAAUGAGCAGGCUUGAACCGUAAAAGCUGGGGCUACUAAGGGUAACGGAUGAAGUCGAUGAACACAAGUAUGAUGCGGACGAUUUAAAAAAAAAAUGAAAAUCAGAACCUCGAAGUGGCCAGAGAUCUCCGAUUCAAGGCGCUUGAUAAGAUCCUCUUGGAAAAGCUGUUCGUAAGCAAUCCUGAUAUGCCUCCUCUGAAUCGCAUUUCUAUGAGCAAGGAUGGAAAUAAUGGCCUUCUCGUCGGAUCCCCAGCCUAUGAAGAAGAGAAAAGAGAUUCAGAACCAUAGCACACAACAAUAGAAGAAAUGGAAAAAUAGGUAAUGAAGGAAAGCAAAUGAGUGAUGAGUAAAUCAAAUGAUAAGGGCUAAGGGAAUGAAUGGAAUGGAUUUGAAUACCUUUGAAAGCGGUUCUGAGAGCUUCGGCGUCAACAUUGGCAGAAGGAACGUCACGAGGAACAAUCAAGGUAGCCAUAGCUUCACCAAUCUUCUUAGAGUUUCUCUUCCAGUUGAGUUGGCAGUACAAAAUGCUUUCUUCCUCACUUGGCGUCUCUCCCGCUAUUUAUACUCCAAUCCGGAUUUUCCUCUUCUUUCGUUGCUGUCUUAAUAAUAAUUCUCAAACUAAAAUAAAGUAAUAAAUAAAUACGUAAAAUGAUUUUUUUAAAAUUUUAACUCACAACUUAAAUAAAUAAAUAAAUACGUAAAAUAAUUAUUAUUUUUUUAUAAUUUCAUUCAAAAUUUAUUAAUAUUAUAAUCAAACAGAUUUUGUGAUCUUUACACAUCUAAUAAAAAAUAGUAGUAGAUCAUUAUUUGCAUAAGAAAUCAUAUGUCAGUGUUUGUGACAUGGCUAAAUCUUUGAUUCUUUUUGGUGUUUGGAAGGUGAGAAAAUUCAGAAUAUGAAUGAAGAAAAAUGACUCAAUGCAUUGUUCUUCCUUGACAUUAACGCCAACCCCACAUGGCUUCUCUUCAUAAUAUAUUGUUCUUUAAUUUGUUGAGCUAAUUUAUUUUUAAUUAUCUAUGUUCUUCGAUCUUCCCAAUGUCUUCUGGAAUUUAUGUUUCCCUGCCCUAAUCUUUAGAUUCAUUAAUAGAAUAAAUAAUAAUAAUAAUAAUAUUCCUUUUUUGAUCUUCUUCACAUGUUGGGUUAAAUUACAUUAUCCUAACAUAUUUUACCAAAAUAUUCAUUUUUUCAUUACUCAAUUGAUAUGAGUUUUUAAUGGUUAUUAGGGUUGAGUUAAGCUCGAUUUAGCGUUUUAUUUGGACUAAUGGGUUGUUUUUAAGGCUCUUUGAAAAAAAUACUCAUAUUUCUAACGAAAAAUUUGCUAUAUUACAGCUUUGAUUUUUUUUUACUAGUUGAAUUUGAAAUAAAUUUACAUGUAAUAUAAAGUCUUCAAGUGAAGACAUUUUAAUAUUCAACUUUGUAUUAAUUUUAAAUUUAAGUUCACGUUAUAUAUAGUUGAACUUAAGAUUUGAUUUUAAAGGGGAAAAAAGAAAUUAAAGUUAACAUUAUAUAUAAAAUUUGAAAAAGAGAAACCAAACCCUUGAAAAUGGUUUUGUUUAAGUUAAUUGUAAUGAUGCCAUUUGUCUGAUUGUGAUAUUAGUCUGUAAAACGUUAUUUGGAGUUUGUGUUUUGGGUAUGAUUUAUUAAUUAGUUGGCAAUUUUGAUUUUUAUGUUAAAGAAUCAAUCAAAAUGGGUUAGGUGUGUUGGUGAUGGCAGCUUUUGAACAAAUUACCAUAUAUGAUCUCUUCUUCCUUUUUUAUGCUUUGUUGUUAUAUACACGUAUUUUAAUUCAUAUGAAAUAAUUAAUAUAUGGCCCCAAACCAACGUUUCCUAUAAAAACUUUAUAUCAUAGGAAACAUUUUCUUAAUUUGAAUGUAUUCAUUAUUGUUUAAUUAAAGAGACUUCAAUUCAUUUUCUUUUCUUGAUUUUUCAUAUCUCUUCUUCCUUAUUGUUGUUGCACAAAAGUCUUCCAAAAUGAAAUAAAUGGGUCCAUGUACAAUAAUAUCAAGGGGCAUAAGGGAUCAAACUUUUCCAUCUUUUGUAUUUCAAUAAACAUUAUUAACUAUGAUUUGUUGGGAGUUUUUGUAAGUGUAGCUUAGAGGUGAAGACACUCCUCAUCUCAAGAGCUAACGUUUAAAGUCUCUAUCAUUAUGUUUAUAAAUGUAAUGCACUAAAAAGAAUAAUUUAAAUUUUGAGUUUACUUUCUAUUUUUAUUUGGGUUAAGUUUUGAGUUUAAAUGCAAUUUAGUCUUAAUUUAGUCUCUUGAUUCAAAGGGUUACAAGUAUAAAUUUAGUCUCAAUCUAGAGUUAAUUUUAAAUAUUGGUUUCAUAAUUAUUUUAGAGUAAUUAUUCAGCGAUGGAUAGAAUAAAAUGUAAAUAUAAGGAUGUAUAGAUGAAAUUGAAAUAAAAUUCAAACAAAUAAAGCGAGAGCAUAAAAAGUACAAUAUAUUCUCUUAAUUUUAUGUUUGAUUGUGUAUGACAACUCGCGCGAGCACACAGAUGUGUAUAAAUCUUCUAAAUGCUACAAUGAAAAAGAUAGGGAGGGGGAAAAGAAAUGUGGGUGAGGUGAACACUUGGGGGGAAGUGCUUUCUGAAAAAGCAUUUCUGCAAAAUUUGUCAGAGCUGCAAUAUAUAAUUAAAAACUACAUAAAGCUUCUUUUUUUUUUAAUUGAAAAAAUCAAUAAAGGACAGAUAGAAUUGCUUGAUUGCUCUGCCCUUCUCCCCUUUUGAAUCACACUCGAAUCAAAUUUGGCGGUGAUAAUUUUGACGGUGACCACAGCAAAAAGACAUUAGAAGGACCCAUUUUUGAAUAAGGAAAUCAUUUCCUGAAUCCACACCUAUGUAUCGGAUAAAUAAAGCAACCAAAAAAGAAUUUGGCUUACAUUUUGCUUUCCUUUCUUUUCAACCAAAGAAAAAACGUUUUACGUAAAUAAAAUUUGAAGCAUUAUUUGAUUGAAAAACCUUUUUUUUUUUUCUCCUCACUUGGAAACACUUAAUCCGAGUGGUUAAAAAUAUUGAUUCUACUUAAAAACACUUUUAUAAAUCAGUUAGAGAAUUAAGGCAAACAGGCCUAUCCAAUGUCACAUUUAUAGAGAAAGGAAAUGGACAUAUAAUCAAAUAAUGGCAGAGAGAUAGAGGUGAAUGAAAACAGAGGGAAAACAGGGGGUCUCAACAACAGAGAUAAAGAACAACACACAACUUAGUUAAUAUAAAUAUGUCCUCAUUACAAAACCAAGCAUUCUUCAACAAACACAAGUCUCAAGAGCACAAAACAGCUUAUUAUUUAAUAAACCAACUACUUACAAGCCGAUUAAAACACUCAUACGUAAUAUAUAUUAUUGUGGGUUCAGAAGCAGUGCUUUUACUCAGUUUGGUUACCAAGAAGAGCAAGGAUGAAGCGCUCAUAGUCGCCAGAGGUCUCCUUCUUCACAGCAUCAUCAAGGGUAACACUGUUUCUCUUGUGAUAAGCCUCCUUUAUUUGCCUCAAGUCUUUCUCCGCCCUUGUCACCACCACGCGAGUCAAUGCAUCCUCAUCGCUCUUCCCAACCUUCUUGAUUGCAUUUCGCACUACCUGUUUGUAAUCAUUUUUCCAAAAGAAUAUUAAUCAUCUCCGUAUCGUUCGAACUAUUGAUCUCAGCUUCUUUUAAAAUAGAGUUAAAGAAAUCAAGAUGGAAAGCUUUUUCAGAUCUUCAGUGAGAUUUCAAUGCAGGCAUUGGAAUGGAGAAUCACAUCAAAAUACGGACAAGAAUCAAGUACAUAAUCUACUUUGAUAAGAGUUUCAAAUCAUCACCUUCUCGUAGUAUUUUACAGGGUCAUUGAUGCACCGAAUCACAGUUUUAAGUGCUUCUGUGAACUCAUUGGCAUCACGAUCUUGGCCCAAUUGCUGCAACAGAGAAAAAAAAAGGAUAACAGCUUAAAGCUCAAACACAAUCCAGCUCCAAAGAUAUUCUGCUGUAAACUCUCUAGCUAAACUAAUAAGCAAUGUGGUGAACUAUCCAAUAGUAACUUUAUCCUCAGCUUUAUACCUUAGAAAUAGAAAUACCAUUGGCAUCUUUGUAGUGAUUGAAAGUUGCAAUCAGCUGUGCCUUACUCCUUGUGGUUAGGAUCCUUAUAACAUCUUCAUGAUUGAAGGCUUUGUCUUUAACUGCACGCUCAAGUAUCUCAGCUUCUGAUUUGGCUAAUUUUGCAUCUAUCUCUCCACCGUUGUAACGAUAUGCACUCACCAACCCCACCAACAGCUGCAAUCAUUAGGCAUAAACCAUCAAUCAACAAUUCACAAAACCUAUCAUCUUCAUUCUUGAGUUUAAGUUUGUUCAUGUAAUUCUAUUUACCUUGAUAUUCCCUUAACUAAUGUAUCAUUAACUCUUAGUCUUGUGUCAGUAGAAUAUCUGUAUUCAAGUUCCAUCACUUCAUUUUGGCCUCUUACAGUUUCAAAUUCCCCCAAUACAUCAAACCUCUUAACUUUUUUUUUUUUUAAUUUGUUUAUUUCAUAUCAUUUACUGGGUUUAGCCAUGAUUACAAUUUCUUAUCAGUUCAGAACGCGGGAUAGAAUCCAUAUAUUAAAUGGGAAGGAAUAUCCUCUCUCUUGGAGUACUGUUUCAGCUUAAAUCAUCGAACUCAGACAUGAUUGGUAAAAUAAAUUAAUAAGAUGAGAAGUUCUUUGUUCUUUAAAAUAACUAUAGCGAUCUCAAUCCCCAAAUGAAAAGUUGAUCUACAGCCCCAAGUUCAUCGAUCCAAGUUCAGAUGAUUAAGGAAAUCGUGAUCAAUGGGAAAUCGAAUAAAUAAUAUGGAUAAGGGAAAAGUUACGGACCUUGCGAAAAUCAUCGUGAGUGUUGGCGGCAACAUCUUCCUCUAAUGAUCGCUUGUACCGGUGUUGAUACGCUCUUCUGACUCCCAAGAACUCUUCAGGAGAGUAAAUGCAAGAAAAUUCAACAAGUACUGCAAAAUCUUCAUUGGGCUUCCUUAAGGCGACGUGAGCCAACACAGCGUCUCUGUCCUCUGGAUCUAGUAUCCAUCGGUAUACAGCUCUCUGUUUCAACAACAAACAAUCAAACUCUCAUAUUCUAUAAAAAAAAUCGUAUAAACAAGAAAAUCGGCCGAUCUUCAUAUAGAAAAGGGCAGAGAAUCCAAUAGUUUCGAUGAUCGCGAACAAGAGAGCAGUAAGUGAGACCGAUGAAAAAGACGACGAUCUAUAAAGACCAGAGCGUAAUGAGGAAGAGUAUGAUGAAAAAUGAAUAGAAAGACUCACCUCAAGGUGGCCAGAGAGCUCAGAUUCAAAGCGC
rnacentral:lncRNA from 1 species